rnacentral:rRNA from 1 species
UACAGGGGGGGCAAGCGUUGUUCGGAAUUACUGGGCGUAAAGGGCUCGUAGGCGGCCAACUAAGUCCGACGUGAAAUCCCAAAGCUUAACUUUGGAACUGCGUCGGAUACUGGAUGGCUUGAAUUCGGGAGAGGGAUGCAGAAUUCCAGGUGUAGCGGUGAAAUGCGUAGAUAUCUGGAGGAACACCGGUGGCGAAGGCGGGUCUCUGGGCCGAUACUGACGCUGAGGAGCGAAAGCGUGGGGAGCGAACAGG